rfam:Streptomyces albus strain DSM 41398, complete genome.
CUUCACCGACCCCAACCACAACGGGCUCUCCACCGACCGGCCCUGCCCAUACGUGGCCAGGAGAGCCUGCGCCUC